ensembl:lncRNA
CGCUUUUGUAGGAAUUGUUCAGAUGAAUACAAAAACGAAAUGGAGUCAGUAGGGGUUGCUUGGUGACAAAAUUUUAUAUGCCGUUUAUUUGUGCUACUCUCCCAUUUGUGCCUCAUACAUUUCAUAGCCAUAGACGCCCUCUUGCUAGGUGUUCAUUUAUAAUCUAAAAAUACAUAAGAAAUCCUCUUUGUAGGUGAUUCUAUUCACCAUUACAGCUGUAAUAACCCCUUUUAUCUACUUGAGCCGGGUGGACAGUGGUCUUGAACUGACUUGCUAGGGCUUGCAUUAAAGUAACAUUAAUGCUCGCCUUUUCAAUGCUUUCUAGGUGGUAUGAGGUUGAGAUGAGAGCCACGCCGCAGGUAUUUACAGAGCACACUUAGAGUAGCCUGAUAAUGCACUCUAUAGCCUGAAGAUGACCAACCGAAAGGGCUCUCAAAAUGGUUGAACCCCCUGGCCUCAGAACCUCUGUGCUCUAUUAUCAGAGCUGUAGGUCCCUGCAUGCACCGUGCCCAGGGUGAGUCUGAUGUAAGUAGGCAGAUACACCACCCCCCAAAUCUUCACAAGUCACUGAACACUGCGAUCUAAUCACUUCUGACACUAGAAUAAGAGGCUGGGCGGCUGCCUGUAGGAGGACUCUCUAAUGGCAACACACACACAGGGGUUAAAUCAGAAACCAAGUUCAAAUCUCUGGAACAGCUUCAACAGAACCAGUGGAGGUACAUUCGGUGUCACAGGCACAUGUUUUGGAGAAACACCAGCAAUUGUACAUCCGAAGGCUCCAGGUACAGCAGUGGAUAUGUGCCGUACGUGCCGUCCAUUCAGAGCAGCAGACUGUGUUGCUGAAACGAGGGUUAUGUGAUGCCCGCAGAGCCGUCUGGUCUGACCCCUCAUCAGAGCUGAAAUGCCCUCAUUCCAUCACAUCUGUGAGAGUCAAGGCAGAAGAGACUAAAAUAGAGUUGGAGUCUCCAGAGGUACCAAUGCUUAGAGGAAUCCAGCCAGUAUAAACACGACCCACGAUCUCUCCAGUUCUCACAGCCACAAUAUAUAAAUCGUGAAAAGUCAUACAGAAACAUCUCAUAAGCAAUGCUUUGUUCUUAGACCCCAAAUGCAAGGAGUUUUAUGAGAUAAACAGUGUAGUUUGGGAUUAAAGCAAUAACUGUGUACAUCGAGGAUUUUGAAAUUGUCCAUCCACCAUUUAUUUCAAUUGGCUUGUGUGAUAUUUUCUCAGGAUGGGGCGUGCUAUGACAUAAGAACAUUUAACAGGCCUAAACAGAACAUUCAGCAGGUGUUGGACCUGGAUCAAAUGGACAAUUCAUUGAUCUCUAGAUAGAAAUCCCAUGCUAAUUACUGGUUUAAUCGGAUCUACGGUGGCUUUACAUCUCGGAUCAUAUUGGAUUUGAUCUCUAUAGGAACUCCAAAGGGAUUUUGAAGAACUGUCACUGAACCAUGAAGGAGGAAAUCCUACAGUUUUUCAAUGAUAUUUGGAACCUCACUUCAUCCAAGCAUGACCAGAGCGUCUACAACACGGUGUGCCUGGUAGUGCUUCUGACUCUACCGCUGGUUGUCGUCUUCACAUCUAUACUG